CCCCCGAGCGAGGAUGUGCCUUACAACCCGAACCUUUGCUGACUGGGCUCGACCGGGCCGGACCCAGCCUGCAGCAACCCCGGGACACGUGGUGGCAGGGGAGCGGGAGAGGCCCUGUAUGUGCGGG